rnacentral:lncRNA from 1 species
GCCUGGAAGACUGGACCAGUGGCGAGAAGAAGGACUGUUCUGCCAUCAGUGGGUUGGUGAUCAGAGAACAUCAAUAUUCACAGGUGCACCCAGGGAGUGGGCUUCAAGAAGUGAGCCUCUUGGGCACUUUAAAAAGGUAUGGAAAUUUUCCAUGAAGAAGAUAGGAACUCUAAAUAUGUGCACUGAUACUGAGCUCAACAAAGCUAUUGGGGCUAAAGGAAUAAGGAACAUCCCAUACCACAUCCAUGUGUGGUUGUCGAGAAAAAUUAAUGAGGAUGAAAAUUCACCAAACAAGCUCUGUACAUUGGUUACCUAUGUACCUGUCAUCACUUAAAAAUCUACAGACAGUCAAUGUGGAUGAGAACUAA